UUCCUACGGGAGGCAGCAGUCGGGAAUAUUGCGCAAUGGAGGAAACUCCGACGCAGUGACGCCGCGUAUAGGAAGAAGGUCUUCGGAUUGUAGACUAUUGUCGUUAGGGAAGAAAAAGGACAGUACCUAAGGAGGAAGCUCCGGCUAACUACGUGCCAGCAGCCGCGGUAAUACGUAGGGGGCAAGCGUUAUCCGGAAUUACUGGGUGUAAAGGGAGCGUAGACGGUGAUGCAAGUCUGGAGUGAAAGGCGGGGGCCCAACCCCCGGACUGCUCUGGAAACUGUGUAACUUGAGCGCAGGAGAGG
rnacentral:rRNA from 1 species